ensembl:lncRNA
GUGUGCUGCUGGUAUCACUUCUUAUUUGCUUUGCAACUGUGGAUUUACUUUUCCUGUAAAACAACUUUGAUGUGUAAUGGAACUGGGAAGGAAAAGGAUAAACCCACUUCCUAUGCUCUCCGUUUUUUAACUAGGGGCACUGUGAGCUUGGAUUCCCAGUUGGAGUUUAGAUUUGGUGCUUCAUUUGGCCUCUGAGCUUCCAAAGGUCUUCAUUUGUAACACACUUAUGGCUGACAGCUGGGCUGAGGACCCUCCUGAGAGAGCCUCCAGUGUGGCAGCCACUGAAACUAAGAGUACAUCAUGAGAAACGCUGGGCUGGAAGAAGCAUAAGCUGGAAUCAAGAUUGCCGGGAGAAAUAUCAAUAAUUUCAGAUAUGCAGAUAACACCACCCUUAUAGCAGAAAGUGAAGAGAAACUAAAGAGCCUCUUGAUGAAAGUGAAAGAGGAGGGUGAAAAAGUUGGCUUAAAGCUCAACAUUCAGAAAACUAAGAUUAUGGCAUCUGGUCCCAUCACUUCAUGGGAAAUAGAUGGGGAAA